rfam:Vibrio alginolyticus 12G01 1100007009696, whole genome shotgun sequence.
CCGUUUGUAUCACUAGACGACCCUAAGGCUCUGAAUAAAGCAGCGAGCCUGAUAAUGUAACGAAGUUUGGUAUAGUGCUAGACGGGAGCGAUACCGUGAGGUGAUGAUCCUCCUGAUAACCACGAAUUGGGUGAGUUC